AACGGGAACGAAAGCUGCGGUGCCUGAGCCGCUGGGAUUUCUCUUCCUCCGCUUACUCGUCCUGUGGUUUGGGGCAGACUUUUCCCAGGCUUGAGGUUUCCGAGGCCAGGCCCAAACUUUAUUACCUAUUUCCUUUACCUCUCUUGUUGUUUUGGGUAAAGGAUGACAUUAUGCAGCUUCCACUGCUUCUCGUGGCCUAAUUAUCUCUGCCGAAGACACAGUUACUUUCACAUGCCCAAAGUCCUCCCACGAAGGAACUGGUACUAGAUAUGAUGGCCGGAGUCUGUUGAGAAGCAUCAGUCCCUAGGUCAAUGCCUAAAGUAGGUAAAACUUACAAGAUUGAACAUGGAAUCGCUGAUUAAUGAGAAACAACAUAUCCGAGUGAUGUUUGCAAGUUGAUAAUCCUUGAUGGGAGGAACUGUGUCUGAUCUUUCCCUGUAUUUCAAGUCCCUGGCAAAUAAACUUGCGCAUCCUGAAGGUACAGUGAAUAUUCGCUACCAUCAUUAACGGUGGUGGUGAUACAGUAGAAAUGUUUUCAAAUCUCAUUUGAAUUUUCAGUUGGUUUUUGGCUAACAUCUUGUAGCCGUCCAUGAGAAGGAUAUAGCAUAUGGUGAAACUGUGCUAGUUUAUUCUUGAAGUAAUUGUGGUACUGGCCUACUUUUUUAUUAAAUUCAUUUUUUUCCUAGCCCCGAAAAGUAGUCAUGUGACUCACUAGACUUGUUGCUGUUGAGGUGUAGCAAACAGAGAAUUGCAUGGAACGCUCUUUUUCCCAACUCUUUUCUAAAAACGAGCCUCUUUAAUAGGGAUCAGCAUGAAAGCCAGUGUCAGGAGCUGAUUCCACUUUGCCUUGGAUCCUGCAUUCUGAAUUGUAUUGGGGAGUAAAUUCCGUCUGCUAUAUAAGCUAAGGAAAGGAACAGAGAUGCCUUUCGCCUAUUAGCAAUAUUCUUCACAGGGCAGUGACAACUGGGAAAAUAAAUUGAGUUGGCAAUUUAAUAGGUAUAAUUCAAAGAGUA
rnacentral:lncRNA from 9 species